AGAGUUUGAUCAUGGCUCAGAAUGAACGUUGGCGGCGUGGAUUAGGCAUGCAAGUCGAGCGAGAACCCAGCAAUGGGGGACAGCGGCGAAAGGGACAGUAAUGUGUAGAUUAUCUGCCCUCAGGUCCGGGAUAGCUGCGGGAAACUGCAGGUAAUACCGGAUAACAUCUCCGGAUCAAAGGUGUGAUUCCGCCUGAGGAUGAGUCUACAUCCUAUUAGCUAGUUGGUAGGGUAACGGCCUACCAAGGCAAUGAUGGGUAGCGGGUGUGAGAGCACGACCCGCGUCAUUGGGACUGAGACACUGCCCAGACACCUACGGGUGGCUGCAGUCGAGAAUCUUCGGCAAUGGGCGCAAGCCUGACCGAGCGACGCCGCGUGCGGGAUGAAGGCCUUCGGGUUGUAAACCGCUGUCAGAGGGGAUGAAAUGCAGGUGGGUUCUCCCAUCUGUUUGACAUAGCCUCAGAGGAAGGACGGGCUAAGUUCGUGCCAGCAGCCGCGGUAAGACGAACCGUCCAAACGUUAUUCGGAAUCACUGGGCUUAAAGGGUGCGUAGGCGGCGCGGAAAGUUGGGUGUGAAAUCCCUCGGCUCAACCGAGGAACUGCGCCCAAAACUGCCGUGCUCGAGGGAGAUAGAGGUGAGCGGAACUUAGGGUGGAGCGGUGAAAUGCGUUGAUAUCCUAAGGAACACCGGUGGCGAAAGCGGCUCACUGGAUCUCUUCUGACGCUGAGGCACGAAAGCUAGGGUAGCGAACGGGAUUAGAUACCCUAGUAGUCC
rnacentral:rRNA from 1 species